GAGCCUUCUGGGAGGUCCCCGAGGAGGAUGCGAGCCUGGGAGGUUGUUCCAUUUCCACGCGCCCCUCACGCCCUUGGACGAGGCCCUCACCCCUGGUUCCACUGCAGGAGACCUGUUAAAGGUCAUCCGUGGACCGAAAUGCGCGCCCGAAGCAACCAAGAGCAGAGGCGGGCGAACGCGGGAGGCUGGCCGCCCCAGUGUGUGGUCGGAUGUUGUGUGCUGGAUCUCGUGCGAAGGUUCCGAGG
rnacentral:lncRNA from 1 species